AUAGAUGCACCCAGUGCUUUAACACAUUGUCUGCAUAAUCAUCAGUAUCCCCAUUUUAGAGAUGAGGAAACCUGAACAGAGAAGGGUCCCUGGGGAGGCCAUCAGGGAAGGUUGCUGGGAAACGAAGUUAUGGAUGCAGCUGAUCCAGGGGACAAUGCUGUCUACAGCUUUAGAAUCCAGGAAAGAGGACAUUUGGGGACCUGUUUAUGGAAGGCUGAUAUAUUUGCUUUGCAUACAGAGUUGAGAGGAUGCUGAUAUUAGGAAACUCAGGUGGAGAGAAAAAAAAUCAUGACGAAACUGGCUGCUAACUGAAGCAAAGCCACAGCCAAUUUAGCAAAAGGAACACAAAUUCUCAAACGGGGAAGGAGCCAAAGGUGCUGGGACUGUAAAGGAAGAAAAAAUAAAUCCAUUUAUGCA
rnacentral:lncRNA from 1 species